rnacentral:lncRNA from 1 species
GUCUGCGUCCCCGAUUAUGGCUCCUGAUGUUUACCUGAUAGUCGGUCAGUGGAUUAUGCUAGUAGCUGGUAGUCUAAAAAGAGUCCAUCAGAAAACUAGAAAUCCGAUUACUGUCCCAGGCAAUUUAUUUUAAUAAAUUUACACCCUAUAGUGCUGCCGCCGCUGGAGGAUGGCACCACUAUGUCAUCCAACACUGAUCUUUUGUCAAAGUUCGAACUGAUCCAGGACAGGCAAACAACACAGUGGAAGUUUGGAAGUCAAGCCGGGCAGAAAGAAGAAGUUUCUAAACAUCAAAUGAGGGAAACCAUGAUUCCUACUCGAACAGGUAGACGUUGUUCCCUGAUGUGAUAACAAAAGCCGCUUUAAAUUCGACCAAGUGGAGCGUCACGUGAACGUUCCUACUACGAGAUUGUAGUGAAUAUAUAAGUAAAAAAUGAUCAGUUUAUCCGAGUAGAAUCAGUGAAAAUGUUGUUAAGGAUAAUAUUCCCCUGUACAUUCCAGAAACUGACAGUGAUUACUAACCAUAGCCUCUCAGUAUGUAUUGUAGAACCAAACAAAAAGUAAAGUGUUUGAUGUGAAACGACACCCAGAGAAAACUGGGCUCCAAUAGGGAUUUUGUUCACAGGCUUACAUAAGCGAGACCUUUGUGGAAUUACCUUAUGCUUACAUUAGAUUAGAUAGAAGUUUGUGUCGAAGCCUGGAUGUACUAAAACAAGGUGAAAUGUUCUCACGUUUCAAUAUGGGUUUUGUAUAAUAAGUUUCAAAAUUGUCGCCCGUUUAUUGGCCAAUUGUUGUGGAGGCGGAUCCAGGGGAGGGGUUAAGGAGAUUACAAACCCCCCUUUGAGAAGCAUUUUUUUUUGUUAUAUGUUUUACUCAUCAUAAAACUAAUGGAAUAAAAUUGUUUUAUACGUAUUUGUUUGACUUCGGUUCCACUAAUUGCCUGAUUGUCUCAGCGGGAAAAGAUGAUGAACCUUUCGUCAUUGCAUUAUUUAUAAGGAAACUACAGAUAUAUCAUGUCGUCACAAACGUUUUUCAAGUGCCAGGAAUGAUGGAAAUGGUGUUUUAGAUGGUAAAAUCGGAAAAACAUUUUCCCUCUAGAAGUUCUUGCCUGCGGCGUUUUCCAUCCACGCUGGUGGGGUCGAAGUUAUUUAAGUGUACAACUACCCUCCC